UACGUAGGGGGCAAGCGUUGUCCGGAAUCAUUGGGCGUAAAGCGCGCGUAGGCGGCCCGGUAAGUCCGCUGUGAAAGUCAAAGGCUCAACCUUUGAAUGCCGGUGGAUACUGCCAGGCUGGAGUCCGGAAGAGGCGAGUGGAAUUCCUGGUGUAGCGGUGGAAUGCGCAGAUAUCAGGAGGAACACCAAUAGCGAAGGCAGCUCGCUGGGACGGUACUGACGCUGAGGCGCGAAAGCGUGGGGAGCGAACAGG
rnacentral:rRNA from 1 species